rnacentral:rRNA from 1 species
AGUGAUCCUGCGCCGAAGAUUUCCGGGGCUAAAACUUACUACCGAAGCUACGGCAUCAGUAAUGAUGGGUAGGGGAGCUUCCCAUACGGGUUGAAGCAUGACCGUAAGGACAUGUGGACAGUAUGGGAGUGAGAAUGUUGGCAUGAGUAGCGAGAUGUGGGUGAGAAUCCCACAGGCCGUAAACCCAAGGUUUCCAGGGGAAGGUUCGUCCGCCCUGGGUUAGUCGGGACCUAAGCUGAGGCCGAAAGGCGUAGGUGAUGGACAACAGGUUGAUAUUCCUGUACUACCGAUAACCGUUUGAGAGAAGGGAUGACACAGUAGGAUAAGCUAAGCACACUGUUGGUUAUGUGUGCCCAAGCAUUGAGGCAGUCAAAGUAGGCAAAUCCGCUUUGAUAAUGCUGGGAUGUGAUGGGGAGCGAAAUUUAGUAGCGAAGUAGCUGAUUUCACACUGUCAAGAAAAGUCUCUAUCGAGGUUAAAGGUACCCGUACCGCAAACCGACACAGGUGGGUGAGGAGAGUAUCCUAAGGCCAGCGAGAGAACUGUUGUUAAGGAACUCGGCAAAAUGACCCCGUAACUUAGGGAUAAGGGGUGCCACCAUCAGGUGGCCGCAGAGAAUAGGCCCAAGCGACUGUUUACCAAAAACAUAGGUUUCUGCUAAGUCGCAAGACGAUGUAUAGGAGCUGACGCCUGCCCGGUGCUGGAAGGUUAAGGGGAUCUGUUAGAGCAAUCGAAGCAGUGAACUUAAGCCCCAGUAAACGGCGGCCGUAACUAUAACGGUCCUAAGGUAGCGAAAUUCCUUGUCGGGUAAGUUCCGACCCGCACGAAAGGCGUAACGAUUUGGGCACUGUCUCAACAACAGACUCGGUGAAAUUGUAAUUCCGGUGAAGAUGCCGGAUACCUGCGACAGGACGGAAAGACCCCAUGGAGCUU